rnacentral:rRNA from 1 species
UACGUAGGGUGCAGGCGUUAAUCGGAAUUACGGGGCGUAAAGCGUGCGCAGGCGGUUCGCUAAGACAGAGGUGAAAUCCCCGGGCUCAACCUGGGAACUGCCUUUGUGACUGCAUAGCUAGAGUACGGUAGAGGGGGAUGGAAUUCCGCGUGUAGCAGUGAAAUGCGUAGAUAUGCGGAGGAACACCGAUGGCGAAGGCAAUCCCCUGGACCUGUACUGACGCUCAUGCACGAAAGCGUGGGGAGCAAACAGG